AUUGAACGUUGGCGGCAGGCCUAAAACAUGCAAGUCGAACGGUAACAGCGGGAGCUUGCUCCCGGCUGACGAGUGGCGGACGGGUGAGUAACACGUAGGAAUCUACCUAGUAGUGGGGGACAACCCGGGAAACCCGGGCUAAUACCGCAUACGCUCUGAGGAGGAAAGCGGGGGAUUCGCAAGGACCUCGCGCUGUUGGAGCGGCCGAUGUCGGAUUAGCUAGUUGGUGGGGUAAAGGCCCACCAAGGCGACGAUCCGUAGCUGGUCUGAGAGGAUGAUCAGCCACACUGGAACUGAGACACGGUCCAGACUCCUACGGGAGGCAGCAGUGGGGAAUUUUGGACAAUGGGGGCAACCCUGAUCCAGCCAUUCCGCGUGAGUGAAGAAGGCCUU
rnacentral:rRNA from 1 species